rnacentral:tRNA from 1 species
GUUAAUAAAACCUCUGAAUUGUGGUUUCAGAAAUGUCUUGAAGGCCCUCUUUC